AAUAUUGGUCAAUGGGCGCAAGCCUGAACCAGCCAUGCCGCGUGCAGGAAGACGGCCUUCUGGGUUGUAAACUGCUUUUAUCAGGGAACAAAAAGCUCCUGCGGGAGAAAUUGCGUGUACCUGAAGAAUAAGGACCGGCUAACUCCGUGCCAGCAGCCGCGGUAAUACGGAGGGUCCAAGCGUUGUCCGGAUUUAUUGGGUUUAAAGGGUGCGUAGGCGGCCUUAUAAGUCAGUGGUGAAAUCCUUCGGCUCAACCGGAGAACUGCCAUUGAAACUGUAAGGCUUGAGUACAGACGAGGUAGGCGGAAUUUAUGGUGUAGCGGUGAAAUGCAUAGAUACCAUAAAGAACACCUAUAGCGAAGGCAGCUUACUAGACUGUAACUGACGCUGAGGCACGAAAGCGUGGGGAGCGAACAGGAUUAGAUACCCUGGUAGUCCACGCCGUA
rnacentral:rRNA from 1 species